rnacentral:SRP_RNA from 1 species
GCCAGGUGCGGUGGCUCACGCCUGUAAUCCCAUCACUCUGGGAGGCCGAGGUGGGGGGAUCACCUGAGGUCAGGAGUUCGUGACCAGCCUGGCCAACAUGGUGAAACCCCAUCUCUA